AACAGAGUGAUUCCGAGCAAGAUAAUGAGGAGUGCACUUGUUGUCUAUUUGGUGCAUUCCAUUCAAUCACAAAGAAUAAAAUAAAAGGAUAUGUAAAAGGUAAGAUACACAUAGGAUACAAAAUAUAAUAGAGAGAGUAUUGCCAAAAAAUAUGAGCACUAGCAUAGAAUAACUGUCAAAGAAUAUGUCUGUUAAAUAGCUAGCAAGGAAAAAGGAAGAUAAGAAGUGGCAUCACAUUAGGUUUCAUUCACAGGUUAAAUUGGGAGUAUUGCUAAAUGAAUACAAUUGUGAGUUGCAUUUAAGACAUGCUUCUAUCACAGGGAAAUCUGAAAUAAGGAAAAAUAAAGAAUAAGAUGUAAUGAAGACUAAGAAAGAUAGUGAGUACAUGCAAUCAAAAAGAAAAAACGGAAUAAGUUUUACCAAGGAGAGGGUGGGAAAUUCAAGCCACAUAUGAGAAGGGUAAAGAGCAGGGUUUUCAAAAUGUGGGAAGAAUUUGUAAGUUUCAGAUUACAAAGAUGAAUGAAGGGGAGAGUACAUCUUUCUGAACCUUCAUGACUUAUUCACACUUGGAAAUGAAUUGAGGAGUAUACACUUGAUGCCACAAAGCUAAGUUUAUUUACCAUAAAUGAUUAGGCAUGUACAAAAUUUAGUGACAACAUUUUGCUACAUCCUAGGACAAAAACACAGGGAAGAAACAGCAAAUGGAAAAGGCAAAAGAAGUACAAAUAGUUGCGGAGCAUUCCCCAAACCCACAGGUAUCUAAAAUUGAUGUUCGAGGAAGAUUACAGAUUCUUCUAAACUUGACUUUGAAGGGACAUCCUAAGGUAAAAUCCAGAGCUAUAUUCAAAUUAACUCAGAGGAAUUGGAAGCUGACAAAUUUUACAUUGGAACUCUGAAAAUGUAAGGAAUCAUCUCUUGGGGAUCAUGUCCAAAAUCUCAUUCUGACUGAGCAAGUCUUUCCUUCUCCAUGUCCAUUACAUUCUAUAGUGAUUCCAAAGAUCCUGGUCCUCAGGCAACAUCUUUUUCAGACAGGGAAUGCAUGUACUUUUGAGAAAUAUGCAAGAACAGCUACGGAUUCCUGCAGUUUAGGACACAAGCAGAUCAAUUUCAAGGAUAAAUAUUGAGUCAAUUCUAAACAUGUAUCUUGAGAAUUGAGAGGGACUCAAAAGACUAAGAUGAAGAAAUUAUAUUUCUAUGAUAAAUUUGUUACAUUGCCAGGAAAGAAAGUGGCAAAAAUCCAUUCAAAGAAUGUAAAAUGGAAAGAAACAAGCCUCCACUCUAGGGUUCUUUUUGAAAAGCCAAAGGGAAGGGAAAACAAAGGAGGAAUCAUAAAAUUUAGCUAGGAAAUAUGAGUAAAUGGAGAGAAUACUCUUCAGGUCUUUACAGUUUGUCUCAUUUCAUAUCAAAAUCUGAUGGAGAGAUGAUUAGAACUAGUGGGGCCUGGAAGAAUAAGGGCAACCUACAGUUGCCAAUUUCUCUCCUCCAUAUGUAGCAGGCCCCACAACGUGUGAGGCAUCCAUAUGUGUCAUUCAGAAGAGCAACAUUGCAUUUUUGAAGAAUUAAUUGUUUUAAAGAAAGCUAAUAUUUUCAUUCAUACUAUUCUAAUCAUUAAUAUAUUUUGUUUAAGCCAUUAUUUUAUUGGUGUUUUGUUGGGAAACCAUGUUGCUUACAUGCCAGGAAUCCACAGUACUGUUGAGAUACCUUCUGAACUCUAGAGGACAAAUGUUGUUCUGAACUGGGACUUUUUUGAAAAUACUUUAAAAGCCUUGUAGAUAUGCCACAUCAGACUCAAACUGGAACCAGAAAUCUUUAUGCAGUUUACUCCUCAAAAACCAACACCAUUACUCUUAUUUACCAAUUUCUUCAAAACAUAAUAGUUUAUUGAUAUCUGCAAUUUCUGCAAGAUUUCAGAACAAUUUUUUGAUGGACUAGUCUGAAUCCUUUGUGCUUUAUCAUAUUUCUUUCUUUUUUUUUUUUUUUUUUUUUCAUAGAUGUUGGAUCACUUUCUUCACACAACAGAGGAAAAAUAAAAUUGGUGUUGGUUGAGCCACCUGAUACAGGAAAGGAAGCUAUAUCAGUUUCCCACAUGGGUAUGGAUAAACACCCAGAUGGUGUUAGCUGACUUUCUCUAAACACAUACAUCAGAAAACUCUCCAUGAUGAGCAAACAAUUAUAUAUUCCCCAGGAAUUAAAUCACUACUUUAUUUAUUUAUUUUUUUAUUUAAAACUUUGAUGAAUUCACUACUUUAGACUUGUCAAUUCUAAGGCAAAUAAGGGAUUGGAAAAGUACUUAUAAUAAAAUGGAUUAACAGAUUCUGCUAAGAUUCACUAAAGAUGUGUACUGCCACAUUUUAACAGCUUUGACAUUGAAUUUCUCAGGGGUCUUCUUUCCUCCUUUAAAUACAGUUCAUUCUGCAUCUCGACAUAAUUGUAUAAUUGAUCAUUUCAAAAAUGAUCUUUCCUCUGGAAACUUAACUGCAAAUAUUACUGAACCCACAUUCCUGGUUUGGUUUUAGUACUUUGAAUCUUGUGACUUUACUCAACACACAUGUAAUUCAUUUUACUGCUUUUAUAUAAAAUGAAUGUGUUAUUUAUUGGCAAACAGUUUUCCAGAAAUUUUGACUGAGUUGUAAAUCAAGAAUGUGCUUGCACAUACCAAGGAAGUGUUUGCUAAUCGUUCUAUGACAUAUUUUAUUUCUUUAUUUUACCUCAAUUGUGGGCACUAAAAAAAGGUCUUUUUGCAUGCUAAGCAAAAAGUUGCUGUCUCACUGAACGUCUCCCACAGACCUCUCUAAUUCUCUAGUGGGUUUUCUAAAUCCAGGUUUCAGAAAAUUGUGCACCAAGCACCUAAACGAGUUCCUUCAACACAGGAAGAUAUUUUUACAGAAGAAACUACAUGGUACAGGAAAAUAACAUUCACAGUUCCUACAUUUUAUUACACAUCUCAUUUGAAACCUUGC
rnacentral:lncRNA from 1 species